GAUGACGAGGAGGAGGACGAGGACGUGGAGUGGGACAAGGAAGAGGAGGAAGGAAAACAAUCACAGAUGAGAUCCGGGCCACUUUGGUUUGAGUUUCAGGGAGGCUGGGCAGAGGGUCCAGCCUAACUUGAGCUACUACACUGCAUCUAGUAUCAUCCGGACAUUUUGAAAUGAGAACAGAAUUGCUAGAUGACCCUUCAAUGGAGGAAGAAACCAGCUGUUCACAGCAGAGCAGGAACAACACAUAGUGAAUAUGGUCAUUUCAAACAACAGCACACGUUUACGACAACUGCAACACCACAUCGUCACUGACAACACAACAUUCAGUAACAUAAAUAGGGUGAGUUUAUCCUCACUAGGCCGUAUCCUGAAACGGCAUCAGAUUCGUGUGAAGCAGCUCUACAGAGUACCAUUUGAGCCAAAUUCUGACGGAGAAACAACUGCGCUAUGAAUACGUACAAAGAGUUCUGGAACUAGAUGCUGCAGAGCAUCAGGAUUUAGUCUACGUUGAUGAGGUCGGCUUUAACAUAGCCAAAACAAGACGCAGGGGAAGAAACCUCAUACUGCAGGGGACAGAAACACCGCGCCAUCGUCAAUGUCCCUGGACAGCAUCACAAUGUGUGCAGCCAUUAAUCAGAACAGUGUCCUUCAUCAUCAUGCCACUCUUGGUCCUUACAAUACUGCCCACAUUAUCACCUUCCUUGACACCCUGCCUAAGAUCCUCAUUCCCAAUGACCAGAGGAAUGGGCCAGAGCAGUCCAGGUUUGUUGUCAUCUAGGACAACAUAAGUUACCACCGGGCUGCUCUGCUCCGCAAUUGGUUCAUUGACCAUCCGCAAGCUGAUGCUCAACCUGCCACCAUAUUCUCCAUUUCUAAACCCAAUAGAAGAGUUAUUUUCGGCAUGGCGUCAGAAGGUAUACGAUCAGCAACCCCACCAACGCAUACCCCUGUUCCAGGCGAUGGAGGAGGCCUGUGGUGACAUAGACGAGGGGACAUGCCAGGGCUGGAUACGCCAUUCCAGAUGCUGCUUCCCCCGCUGUUUAGCCAGAGAGAUCACUUGUGAUGUUGAUGUGGCGCUGUGAUCAGACCCAAAUAGGAGACAGGAUGCACCCUAAUUGUUUUUUUUCUUUAUAGUAACAAACCUAUUUGUUUAUCUUCUAUUGUAUGUGUUUUGUCUGUUACUGUUCAUCCUGAAAUUUGGAUGAAAAUACAAUGUUUUGAGAAAGAAAUUCAUUUUAUGCUUCUGUUUCUAGGGUAAAUAUAUACUGAAUAUGCAUACAUACUGUAUAUAUCUGUGCACAUACAUGUAUGUGUGGAUGCUAUGACAAACCGUUGUGGACUCCACUGCACACUGAACCUGCAAAAUACGAGAGUAAUGUUUUACAUUUGUCACCUCAUUGUGUAGUUGGCGUGUAUAAGAGCUAAUCAAUUGGUUUGUGUGGAGAGUUUUGAUGCAAAAUAUGUUUUGCAAGAGAUGUGUGAUGUUUUGCAUGUGUGUGUGUUUUGGGGUUGUGUGUGUUUUGGGGUUGUGUGUGUUUUGGGGUUGUGUGUGUUUUGGGGUUGUGUGUGUGUUUUGGGGUUGUGUGUGUUUUGGGGUUGUGUGUGUUUUGGGGUUGUGUGUGUGUUUUGGGGUUGUGUGUGUUUUGGGGUUGUGUGUGUGUUUUGGGGUUGUGUGUGUUUUGGGGUUGUGUGUGUUUUGGGGUUGUGUGUGUGUUUUGGGGUUGUGUGUGUUUUGGGGUUGUGUGUGUUUUGGGGGUGUGUGUGUUUUGGGGUUGUGUGUGUUUUGGGGUUGUGUGUGUUUUGGGGUUGUGUGUGUUUUGGGGUUGUGUGUGUUUUGGGGUUGU